AGAGAGAGAAACCAAACUUGGAUUCCUCGUAAAUUUACACUUUGUUCUUCCUGUUACGCUACCGAGCGACUAUAUCUCCUCUUUUUUCAUUGAACUACCACCAUCUGUCUUCCACGUUCCACCAUAUCCAGAAACAUCACCUCUUUCCCACCAUCUCCAAAAUCGUUAGUGACCACCACCACAUCUCUUUCUCCACCAUCAAUAUUAACUACCAUCAUCGUCUUUCUCCACCACCAACUACACCAGUAAUAACCAUCACAAGCACCAAUUACACCGCCAUUAACGAUUUUUGAAUGACUAAUUACGGAUUGAAUAAAUCAAUUCACUAGAUGAUUCAUGAUUCUUCUAAAAAUUUGAAUCGGGAGAAGAUUGUAGAAGCUAGUGGCUUUUUAUCCUUGUUGAUGCUUAUUAGAAGAUCAGACGAUAAUAUGAUACGGAGGGUAGUUGUUGGUGCUAUUGUGAACCUUGCGAAUGGUGUCCAACAUCACUGCCAGCCGAGCACCAUCAGCUUGUACUCUACCAUAGAUGGAAAAAAUGUAGCAUACUUAAGCACAUGAUAUGGCAUACAAGUAACUCCAUCGUGUACUGGUGUUACAAAGGGCUUUGUAAAUGGAGUUCUGGUGUAGGUGUUGUUAUCUUCUCUUUCAUUUGAGAAUUGACUUGUUAACUGGUGCAACUGCACUUUGUUUGCAAUGUACUGUUGGAAGUAAGUGUGACUUUGGAUUCUGGAUUUGGUGAUCCUUCAGAUAAUACUUUGAUUUGGUUGUUUUUCUUCUUGUAAACACUUGUUAGAGUUGACAAUGUUGGUCCAAUAAUCAAAAAGAGGUACGGUAGAUAAAAAUUAAUACUAUGUUCUAUGCAUUAAUUUCCACACUUAGUAUCUAUGUAUCGAGAAAGUAUGUCAUUUCUCAUUGAUUGCCAGAAACUGAGCGUUUACUGUUGAUAAGUAGUACUUGUAAUAUGACGAACAUACUAUUUUUUACUC